GACGAACGCUGGCGGCGUGCUUAACACAUGCAAGUCGAACGGAAAGGCCCGGCUUUUGUGGGGUGCUCGAGUGGCGAACGGGUGAGUAACACGUGAGUAACCUGCCCCUGACUUUGGGAUAACUUCAGGAAACUGGGGCUAAUACCGGAUAGGAGCUCCUGCUGCAUGGUGGGGGUUGGAAAGUUUCGGCGGUUGGGGAUGGACUCGCGGCUUAUCAGCUUGUUGGUGGGGUAGUGGCUGACCAAGGCUGUGACGGGUAGCCGGCCUGAGAGGGUGGCCGGCCACAUUGGGACUGAGGUACGGCGCAGACUCCUACGGGAGGCAGCAGUGGAGAGUAUUGCACAAUGGGCGGAAGCCUGAUGCAGCAACGCCGCGUGCGGGAUGACGGCCUUCGGGUUAUAAACCGCUUUCGCCUGUGACGAAGCGUGAGUGACGGUAAUGGGUAAAGAAGCACCGGCUAACUACGUG
rnacentral:rRNA from 1 species